UACAGGGGGUGCAAACGUUGCUCGGAAUUAUUGGGCGUAAAGCGCGCGUAGGCGGCUACUUAAGUCGGAUGUGAAAGCCCCUGGCUUAACUGGGGAAGUGCACCCGAAACUGAGUAGCUAGAGUGCGAAAGAGGGUCGCGGAAUUCCCGGUGUAGAGGUGAAAUUCGUAGAUAUCGGGAGGAAUACCGGUGGCGAAGGCGGCGACCUGGGUCGACACUGACGCUGAGGCGCGAAAGCGUGGGGAGCGAACAGG
rnacentral:rRNA from 1 species